UAGUCACCACUGCCACGAGUUGACCAUGCUUUCACCAUCACAGGCAAAGGACCUGCUUUCCACCGGUCAUCUGAAGUCAUUCUAAUUCUCCGGUUGGAAUGUUAUUCAAGAAAAAUGUAAACAACAUUCUAAAGAUUGAUUCAGUACAUCGUUUGACAUGUUUCUACUGACUGUUACAGAACUUUUGGACAUUUCGUCACGUUAUAGUGGACGCGCUUUGUGACUUUGGAAUUGUUUACCAAACGCGCUAACCAAAGUAGCUAAUUGGACAUAAAUAACUGACAUUUUCGAACAAAUCAAGCAUUUAUUGUGGACCUGGGAUUCCUAGGACCUCAUUCUGAUGAAGUUCAUCAAAGGAAAUCCUAUGAGUGUCAUCUGAUGAAGAUAUUUCAAGCAGCUGUAAGCGGAGGUAUUGUCAAGCAGCGGUGUUGUCGCCGAAACAAAGUCCUCACCCCUCUCUCACUUGAGUAUCUUUCCUAGUUAUUUUCUGGUCUUAUUUUGCUCUUUUGUAGCUUUGGCAAGUGUGUGUUUCCCAUCCCAGUUUGCUCCUCUCCCUGUGGGUUUUACAGAUACUCCCCACCCUGUGGCUGCAACCCUUCUCAUUUAGUCUAUCCUGCGCGCACAACCGAUGUGGAAUUCCUAGUCUUCAGCAGCAUUUGGAACUGCUGAUCUGCGGUCAAUAUGUCUGAGUUCAUCUCAGGCUUUAUUGCCCUUCAGUCCCUACACUUUUUGGCCCUGACGGACACAUGGAUUACCCCAGAGAACACUGCUCCAGUAUGGGAUCACAAUGAUGACAGAACUACGCAAUGAUGGCCUAUCCUGGCCAAACCCUAACCAGGACGAUGCUGGGCCAUUUGCACACCGCCCUAUGGGACUCCCAAUCACGGCCGGUUGUGAUACAGCCUGGAAUUGAACCAGGGUCUGUAGUGAUGCCUCUAGUACUGUGAUGCAGUGCCUUAGACCGCUGUACCCUUCAGGAGAAAAUGUGUCAUUUAAUUUUGCAAGAUAAUAUUUAAAUACAGUAGCAAAUUUGUAACUUAACAUUUGAAUACAUGCAAUAAGAUUUGCAAACAAUUUAUUUUCAAAUCCAUAUACGAGUAUGAAUAUUCUGCUGUGAAUCAAAAAAUAUACAUCAUUUUGUCACUAUCACAUUACCAAGAGAUUCAUAAACUUGUAGAAAGUUUGUAGUUUGUAGAGAAUCACAAGUAGAAUUUUGAUUUGAGCAGCUCUAACCAGUGGCUGGAUUAUUCCAUCAAUCAAAUCUCAGGAAGUAGCUACCCACAUGAGCAAGGGAGGAUGAGGUAAAUAAAACCAAAACGAUCUACUUGAAGGUAAUCAUCUCUUUUAUCUGUGUACCUCAAUAUGUGUUUGUUUUUUGGGUGAAAAGGUGACAGUAGUUUGUCUAUCAUGUCAAAUAUAAUGGUACAUUUCAGACGAACUCCACACCAGUCAUUGCAUUGACAGCCGCUAUUGCCUUAGCUCGCUGGCGUCUGACAUUCAUCAUCAAAUUGUAUUGACUGCAUGCACAUAUUUAGCUCAUAUUAUUGCGGCUGUAGUGAAAUGCUUAUGUUCUUUGCUCCAACUGUGCAGUAAUAUCUAACAAUACACGCAAAUCUUAAAAGAAUAGAUUAAGAAAUAUUAGGAUGAGCAAUGUUGGAGUCCAGAGUAUAAAUAUAUGAUGGGAUGUGUAGACAUAAUGGACAGUAAUGGAUAGACUAUGUAGUACAUUUGUAGAAAGGAAGAGGGGCUGGGUUGAGUGAAAGAGCAGGAAGACAGGAACAAAGGCGAGGCUGUGCUAUCGUAAAUACAGUAUCUUAUGCAUUCGAAAUUACCAACCAUUUGGAAAAGGAAAACGCAAUAAAUAUUUACUCUGAGCUGCGCUUCAGUAGGUUGGUGGUAGAUGGAAGGCCGUGUUGCCAAACCGAGUCCUCUGUCCUUUGAAGAAUGUCUCUGGUUGUCAAUUGGAUACGUUGUAGUAACAUCGUUAUGUGAUAGACGGGAUACUCUGUCUGUUCCUUCCUAACCUGCAUUUGCAGCUGUGGUCGCUAACUCAAAUCAAAUCAAAAAUCAAAUCAAAUCAACAGCUAGGAGGUAUCAGUUCUGUAGUGAAUAAGAGUUCAAAAUUCAUACCAUUCGCAACCAAAACUCAUGCUGAUGUUGGCUUCGUUUUGAACCAUUCUGACAUAGGACCAUCGCCCUCAUAUCCUCGGAACAGGAAGUUAUGUUGUCGUCAAGGGCUUAUAUAGGAAGGGAGAAGAGGGUGUGUUUGAAAAGUUUUAUAGCCCAUUUCCCUUCACAGAGACGGGCCACUGAGUGAGCAGCCCUAACUUAUGAAAACCCACAUCUCACAUUUUAGAAGCUAAAAUCACAUUUCAUCCCAUCACAAAUAAUUUCAUAUUCAAACAUUUAAAUUGAACAACAAUUCCAUGUGAAUCUGAUAAGUCUGAUGUGUAGACUUUCCACUGUAGAGUUUAUGUAAUCUUAUCAUUGAUGAGAAUGUCUCAGAUGACAACCGAACUGACAUCAUAUUCCGGAUUACCAGAAUAUAGUUCAUUUCCCCCCACAUUCUGAUGUUCCCAGAAUCUUUAUGUUAACCAAGGUUUUUUUAAUGUAACCUCCGUAGGUUAGAGAGAGGAAAAAGGGGGGAAGAGGUAUUUAUGACUGUCAUAAACCAUCCCCCAGGCCAACGUCAUGACAGCAUAGAGCCAGGACAAUGCAGGAGUGGCUUCGGGACAAGUCUCUGAAUGUCCUUGAGUGGCCCAGCCAGAGGCCGGACUUGAACCCGAUCGAACAUCUCUGGAGAGACCUGAAAAUAGAUGUGCAGCAACGCUCCCAUCCAACCUGACAGAACUUGAGAGGAUCUGCAGAGAAGAAUGGGAGAAACUCCCCAAAUACAGGUGUGUCAAGCUUGUAGCGUCAUACCCAAGAAGACUUGAGGCUUGAGGUAAUCACUGCCAAAGGUGCUUCAAAAAAGUACUGACUAAAGGGUCUGAAUACUUAAAAUAUAGUAAAUGCUAUAUUUCAUUUUUAUAUAUAUAUUUAUUUUAUUUAUUUUACUACAAUUUCUAAAAACCUGUUUUUGCUUUGUCAUUAUGAGGUAUUGUGUGUAGAUUGAUGAGGGAAAAAAAUAUUUAAUACAUUUUAAAAUAACGCUGUAAGGUUACAAAGUUUGAAAAAAAUGUAUACUUUCCGAAUGUACUGUAUCUGCUUCAAGUUGCCUGACGGAAUACUGGGGCCUUCAUUGGUACCUUCCCUUUGAUUACAGCAAGAGUCUCCACGUUUUUUCGCAUUUAAAAAUACUAUAUGUAACCACUCAAAUUCAAAAAAACUGCUACGAACACGAGAACUAUAUUCCCUUGUCCCCGACUGCAUUUAGACAGGCAGCCCAAUUCAGAUUUUUUUCCCCACACUUUUGACCAAUCACAUAUCUGGUCACAUAAGAAUUAUUUCAGAAAUGAUUCACGCACUUAUCAACCGAACAUCCCUGGUCAUCCCUACUGCCUCUGAUCUGGCAGGCUCACUAAAUGCAAAUGUUAGCUUGUAAAUUAUGUCUGAGUGUUGGAGUUUGCCCCUGGCUUUCCG
ensembl:lncRNA